AACGAACGCUGGCGGCAUGCCUAACACAUGCAAGUCGAACGAGACCUUCGGGUCUAGUGGCGCACGGGUGCGUAACGCGUGGGAACCUGCCCUUAGGUUCGGUAUAACUCCCCGAAAGGGGUGCUAAUACAGGAUAAUGUCUUCGGACCAAAGAUCUAUCGCCUUUGGAUGGGCCCGCGUUGGAUUAGCUAGUUGGUAGGGUAAAAGCCUACCAAGGCGACGAUCCAUAGCUGGUCUGAGAGGAUGAUCAGCCACACUGGGACUGAGACACGGCCCAGACUGCUACGGAAGGCAGCAGUGGAGAAUAUUGGACGAUGGGCGAAAGCCUAAUCCAGCAAUGCCGCGUGAGUGAUGAAGGCCUUAGGGUUGUAAAGCUCUUUUACCCGAGAUGAUAAUGACAGUACCGGGAGAAUAAGCUCCGGCUAACUCCGUG
rnacentral:rRNA from 1 species